AUGCUUAUUGGCUUAUCACUGCCUUCCAAGAAUAUUAGUUCUAGUUUUUGCAUUGAUGUUGCUUGCUGGAUUUUGUUUUUCUUAAUGAAUUGCUUUUUAUUCAAUCAAACAUUCAAUGAAAGAAUAACAUGUUGGAGGCAAGAAAUGAAGGUUAGCACAUCAAUUUCGUUGACACAGAUGGUUAUUCCCUUUGUGUUUACUCUUUUUUUUUUUGCCGAAUCACAUAUUUUACAAUGUAUGAACAAAUGGUUGAAACAUAAAAACUUAAUGCACAAUUUUUUUUUUUGUUAUUUUAGAUAUACAAAAGAAAAAGAAUUUAUCUUAACAUACAACACCAGUUGUUUCUCAACUAAGACUUGA